UGGGGAAUAUUGCACAAUGGGGGAAACCCUGAUGCAGCAACGCCGCGUGAAGGAAGAAGUAUUUCGGUAUGUAAACUUCUAUCAGUAGGGAAGAAAUUGACGGUACCUAACUAAGAAGCCCCGGCUAACUACGUGCCAGCAGCCGCGGUAAUACGUAGGGGGCAAGCGUUAUCCGGAUUUACUGGGUGUAAAGGGAGCGUAGGCGGCAAUGCAAGUCCGAUGUGAAAGCCCGGGGCUCAACCCCGGGACUGCAUUAGAAACUGUGUUGCUAGAGUGCAGGAGAGGUAAGUGGAAUUCCUAGUGUAGCGGUGAAAUGCGUAGAUAUUAGGAGGAACACCAGUGGCGAAGGCGACUUACUGGACUGAAACUGACGCUGAGGCUCGAAAGCGUGGGGAGCAAA
rnacentral:rRNA from 1 species